ACCCUUGAUCUUAGUUGCCAGCAUUUAGUUGGGCACUCUAAGGUGACUGCCGGUGAUAAACCGGAGGAAGGUGGGGAUGACGUCAAAUCAUCAUGCCCCUUAUGACCUGGGCUACACACGUGCUACAAUGGAUGGUACAAAGGGCAGCAAAACCGCGAGGUCGAGCGAAUCCCAUAAAGCCAUUCUCAGUUCGGAUUGCAGGCUGCAACUCGCCUGCAUGAAGCCGGAAUUGCUAGUAAUCGUGGAUCAGCAUGCCACGGUGAAUACGUUCCCGGGCCUUGUACACACCGCCCGUCACACCACGAGAGUUUGUAACACCCGUGUCGACGGAGAAUUGCUGCCAGGAGUAAUGCAUGUUGCGGCAAGGGC
rnacentral:rRNA from 1 species